CCAGCGAAAAGGCAAACCCACCGAAAGGCGGGGACGCAAAACUGCGGGUCUAAUGCAGGGGGAAAACCUGCUAUGACAGCCGGGUUGCCGUG
rnacentral:ncRNA from 1 species